UACGGAGGAUGCGAGCGUUAUCCGGAUUUAUUGGGUUUAAAGGGUGCGUAGGCGGGAGAUCAAGUCAGCGGUAAAAAUGCGGGGCCCAACCCCGUCGAGCCGUUGAAACUGGUUUUCUUGAGUGGGCGAGAGGUAUGCGGAAUGCGUGGUGUAGCGGUGAAAUGCAUAGAUAUCACGCAGAACCCCGAUUGCGAAGGCAGCAUACCGGCGCCCAACUGACGCUGAGGCACGAAAGCGUGGGUAUCGAACAG
rnacentral:rRNA from 1 species